AGAAUGAACGCUGGCGGCGUGCUUAACACAUGCAAGUCGCGCGCGAAAGUGGCUUCGGCCACGAGUAGAGCGGCGAACGGGUGAGUAACACGUGGAUAACCUACCUGGGAGCGGGGGAUAACCGUGGGAAACGUCGGGCUAAUACCGCAUACGUUCGCGGCGCUUCGACGCCGUGAGGAAGAUGGCCUCUGCUUGCAAGCUAUCUCUCCCAGAUGGGUCCGCGCCUGAUUAGCUAGUUGGCGGGUAAUGGCCCACCAAGGCGACGAUCAGUAGCCGGCUGAGAGGGCGAGUCGGCCACACUGGAACUGAGACACGGUCCAGACUCCGUACGGGAGCAGCAGUGGGAGUAUUGGACAAUAGGACGAA
rnacentral:rRNA from 1 species